UCGACUACCACUAGCUCUUAAGGUCUUUCUGGUGCCUUUCCCCUAAAAAUUCUGAGGUCCCUAGAGCUUGAAUGUAUCACAAAUUCCACAUUUAGUGCUGAGAAUCCAACAACUUUUGCUCACUGUGCCACAGCCAACUGAGAGGUCGCUGUGUCGAUUGCCAGCUACUGCAAGUAGGAGAUUCUCUGUCUGUGGUACCACCAUUGGUCAGCCUUCCUGUUCCAUGUAAGUUAUUGUCCAGGUCUGUCUCCAGAGACCUCCUAGAAAGAGACCCAUUUGCAGUCCCUCCAGCCAAAAUUGGAUGCUGACAUUACAAGUGGAACGAUCACAGUUGCAACAGAUAUAAGCCAAUGAAAGGAACCCCAUGCUACUCCUACACACAAACACAGCACUGUUGUAUAUAUCUGAGUAAGAACAGAGAUGUUGGAGUUGAAGUGAACAGACAUCUGAACUAAAUUACAUGAACAAGUCUAGGCUUCCAACUGGAUUUCUAUGUUUGGACCAAUUUUAAUACUUAGAGUCUCUGGAUUAUCCUAUCUGGUUCCUGGCCAUCCCAGCAGAAUAGCUCAUGUAAUACCUCUUUCAUCAUACACAAAUUAAACCAAACAUCACUUUGUUGUAACACAAAUAUAUAAAAUAACCAAAGACUAAUGUUGGGGUUCAAGUUGAAUAUCAGAAAAGCAAAGCAUCUGCCACUAGCUUCUUUCCUCUUCAUCAGGAUGAAUCAGCUGAUCCUGUUUCCACAUGCUCUCACCAAGCCUCAGAGUUUAACCCCUCCUCAGCAUGACUGAAGAAGAAAUGCCACCUACUCAAUAUUGAAGAACCUGUCUGCUUCUAUUUUUAUACCCCUCUAGCACUGGAAUUAAA